rnacentral:rRNA from 1 species
UACAGAGGUGGCAAGCGUUGUUCGGAAUUACUGGGCGUAAAGGGCGAGUAGGCGGCCUUCUAAGUCAGACGUGAAAUCCCCCGGCUUAACCUGGGAACUGCGUCUGAUACUGGGAGGCUUGAGUAUGGGAGAGGGAUGUAGAAUUCCAGGUGUAGCGGUGAAAUGCGUAGAUAUCUGGAGGAACAUCGGUGGCGAAGGCGGCAUCCUGGACCGAAACUGACACUGAGGCGCGAAAGCCAGGGGAGCAAACGGG